rnacentral:rRNA from 1 species
UACGUAGGGCGCAAGCGUUAUCCGGAAUUAUUGGGCGUAAAGAGCUCGUAGGCGGUUUGUCGCGUCUGCCGUGAAAGUCCGGGACUCAACUCCGGAUCUGCGGUGGGUACGGGCAGACUAGAGUGAUGUAGGGGAGACUGGAAUUCCUGGUGUAGCGGUGAAAUGCGCAGAUAUCAGGAGGAGCACCGAUGGCGAAGGCAGGUCUCUGGGCAUUAACUGACGCUGAGGAGCGAAAGCAUGGGGAGCGAACAGG